rnacentral:rRNA from 1 species
CUACGGGAGGCAGCAGUGGGGAAUAUUGCACAAUGGGGGAAACCCUGAUGCAGCAACGCCGCGUGGAGGAUGACGCAUUUCGGUGUGUAAACUCCUUUUAUAUCCCAAGAUAAUGACGGUAGGAUAUGAAUAAGCACCGGCUAACUCCGUGCCAGCAGCCGCGGUAAUACGGAGGGUGCAAGCGUUACUCGGAAUCACUGGGCGUAAAGGGCGCGUAGGCGGGUUGUCAAGUCUUGAGUGAAAUCCAACGGCUCAACCGUUGAACUGCUUGAGAAACUGGCAGCCUAGAGUGAGGGAGAGGUAGAUGGAAUUGGUGGUGUAGGGGUAAAAUCCGUAGAGAUCACCAGGAAUACCCAUUGCGAAGGCGAUCUGCUGGAACUCUACUGACGCUGAGGCGCGAAAGCGUGGGGAGCAAACAGGAUUAGAUACCCGUGUAGUC